GCUACAGUAUGUUAUGACAAAGAACAUGAACCAACGUUAUGCAAAGUUUCUUUCAUAUUUAUGGAAGUCCGAGUCUUCACUCUAAAGCACAUCUCCUAAGGAUAAUACAGUAAUCUCUCAUAUUGUCUAGCAAAAUCAUAUCCAGUUCCAUAUACAUCCUGGCUCCCAUUUAGUAAAAGUAUAACUGAAAUUUGAUUCACAGUUAAUGCAUUAAGCUAAGUUGCGAGAAUCUGCCGGUGGCUUUAAAACCAUUAUAGAAGGGAAUAGGCUGGCGUUAUCUUGAUGCAUUUCAGAUGACUCUCAUAACAUAAUCUGUCAUUAUAAAGAUAAAUGCAGAUUAGUUGGUAUAAUUACUAAGAAAUCAAAUAGAGAUGAGGCCUAGUUAUUUAAGGAUCAUAUCCGAAUAGCUGUAUCAUCCGACAAAGGUAAGAAAAAUAAUAAGCAGUGAAUAAUUAACAGAGCCAAAUACAGGGUUCAGUUGAGAGAAAUUUAGAGGGUUUGAACCGUUAUCUAUGUCCAAGUACCAAAAUAGCAAUAAUUAUUGUAUACUGUAGUUGUUGGCAAAUAAAGCUGAAUUUAUACGACGUUCAAGUCCUUGUUCACAUUCAAAUAAGCAUCGAUAGAUUUAUCAAAAAAUAAUGAGAGCAACAAUAACAAAAUUUUCAGUUUAUAGUUUAAUUCUUGACAAUAAGUAUUGCACUUGAGAACUUGUGAAAAGUUGGUAUAAGAUUCUUGAUUAGAAGUCUGCACAUAAUACAUGAAGAAACAUAAAGGGGCAAUAUAGCUUUGGGGCUUGCCUUUUUCAAAAACACAAAAAAGGAUGAACCACAUCUUUUCCCUUGUCAAAUAAAUCCAAUGAGGGAAAAACAUUGACGCUAAGUAACUACUACAUGAAUUUUUUUUAAAUGAACUUAAGGAUACGCAAGCUCGCCAGACACGAUUAUUUAAAAAUAAUCUAGUAAUAUACAUAGAGAUCACACAUGCAUUACUAUUAUGUAUAUAUAUGAUAUAUGAGGAAAGAAGAAAAUAGCAGAUUCAAUAUUCUAACCUGUUUCUCAAAUAGAACAGGAGGUUGUAAUAGCAAGACUACCCUACAAUUGAGAUGCAAUUGACAUGAUUUAUAUUUGGAAGAAGACGAUUACGUGUUGCCUCUCGAUUUUUGAGGCAUUGUUGUAGACAAAAUUGCUCUUUCUCAGGCA
rnacentral:lncRNA from 1 species